rnacentral:misc_RNA from 1 species
GUUAAAAUAUAAUUAUGCUUUUUAUUUGCUUAAUUAAAAUUUUAAUUUUAACAAAAGAUAAAUUUUACUUCGAAAGUGCAUAUCAAAAUUAUGAAAAAUGGAUAGGAAAAAAUGAUAUAAUAUUUUUAUGUUAUUAUGAAUGAUAAAAAAAUUAUGAGCUGCCCCUCCUUGCAUGCCGCUGACUGUCUAUAUACGGGCUUUCUGAGAAU